UACAGAGGGGGCAAGCGUUGUUCGGAAUUACUGGGCGUAAAGCGUGCGCAGGCGGUGAUGUAAGACCGAUGUGAAAUCCCCGGGCUUAACCUGGGAACUGCAUUGGUGACUGCAUCGCUCGAGUAUGGCAGAGGGGGGUAGAAUUCCACGUGUAGCAGUGAAAUGCGUAGAGAUGUGGAGGAAUACCGAUGGCGAAGGCAGCCCCCUGGGUCAAUACUGACGCUCAUGCACGAAAGCGGGGGGAGCAAACAGG
rnacentral:rRNA from 1 species